rnacentral:rRNA from 1 species
AUUGAACGCUGGCGGCAUGCCUUACACAUGCAAGUCGAACGGCAGCACGGGUGCUUGCGCCUGGUGGCGAGUGGCGAACGGGUGAGUAAUACAUCGGAACAUGUCCUGUAGUGGGGGAUAGCCCGGCGAAAGCCGGAUUAAUACCGCAUACGAUCUACGGAAGAAAGCGGGGGACCUUCGGGCCUCGCGCUAUGGGGUUGGCCGAUGGCUGAUUAGCUAGUUGGUGGGGUAAAGGCCUACCAAGGCGACGAUCAGUAGCUGGUCUGAGAGGACGACCAGCCACACUGGGACUGAGACACGGCCCAGACUCCUACGGGAGGCAGCAGAGGGGAAUUUUGGACAAUGGGCGAAAGCCUGAUCCAGCAAUGCCGCGUGUGUGAAGAAGGCCUUCGGGUUGUAAAGCACUUUUGUACGGAAAGAAAUCCUUGGCCCUAAUACGGUCGGGGGAUGACGGUACCGGAAGAAUAAGCACCGGCUAACUACGUG